UAAUAUUCCACCCCUGCUGUGUAAUUCUAGCUAUGUCACGCAUGUCUGUGCUUUCUGUUGUACUGGAAGCCAAGCCGAACAUACUUUAAAAGCUCUUUCUGAUUGUUUGUGCACAUUGUAGAGCAGCUUUGUGUUAGCUAUCGCAACGAAGAGAAAGAAAAGAAAGAAACCCAGUUCUGGAUCCAGCGGGAUGACAAGAAAACUGAAAGAGUGCAGCUGAAGAACGAGAGAGAGACGAAGACGCGCUGAAGGAAACAAGGACGAGAAGAGAAAACGGCUUAGGAGUAAAAGUGCACCGGAUGAACAGCCUCGAAAAAUAUCCAGCAAAGUUCUCUCUUCGUUCACACCGGCCGGUGAUCCAGGGAUGAG